AGCGAACGCUGGCGGCAGGCCUAACACAUGCAAGUCGAACGAACUCUUCGGAGUUAGUGGCGGACGGGUGAGUAACACGUGGGAACGUGCCUUUAGGUUCGGAAUAACUCAGGGAAACUUGUGCUAAUACCGAAUGUGCCCUUCGGGGGAAAGAUUUGUCGCCUUUAGAGCGGCCCGCGUCUGAUUAGCUAGUUGGUGAGGUAAAGGCUCACCAAGGCGACGAUCAGUAGCUGGUCUGAGAGGAUGAUCAGCCACAUUGGGACUGAGACACGGCCCAAACUCCUACGGGAGGCAGCAGUGGGGAAUCUUGCGCAAUGGGCGAAAGCCUGACGCAGCCAUGCCGCGUGAAUGAUGAAGGUCUUAGGAUUGUAAAAUUCUUUCACCGGGGACGAUAAUGACGGUACCCGGAGAAGAAGCCCCGGCUAACUUCGUG
rnacentral:rRNA from 1 species